rnacentral:lncRNA from 1 species
AAAAAUAUCCCAAACAGCCACAAAGCAACCGUCAAUGUUUUUUUUUUUUUUCCCCAGAGAGCAACAAUAUACCCUUGCAAAGAAACAGUGUGACUAACUCACUCUCCUUCGGCACUGUGGAGUUGGGAGUAAAAUGGAGAAAUGCGGCAAUGGAUCAUGUUUGGCUGCAGGAUGAAGACCACGUGCAGAGAAGUCCCAGCCACCCCUAUCUUCCCAACUGAGGCACCAGAUAGGACAUCAAAAACAUUGGAGAGAGUACAAUCCAGAGGAAACUAGAAGAACCGCCAAGCUGAGAGCAGCCCAAAUUGUCAACUUGUAGAAUAAAUAGUUUUUAUUUUAAGCCA